rnacentral:tRNA from 1 species
AUCUAUAUAGUAUAAUAGUAUAUUUGACUUCCAAUCAUAAGGCCUGUUUAUUAACAGUAUAGAUA